GCUCAAUAACACGUGGAUAAUCUACCCUGCCGCGGGGGAUAACUUCGGGAAACUGAAGAUAAUACCCCAUAGUGAAUGCUCACUGGAACGUGGCGUUCAUAAAAGCCUUCGGGCGCGACAGGAUGAGUCUGCGGUGGAUUAGGUAGUUGGCGGGGUAAUGGCCCACCAAGCCUAUGAUCCAUACGGGUUGUGGGAGCAAUAGCCCGGAGAAUGGUACUGAGACAAGGACCAUAGCCCUACGGGGUGCAGCAGGCGCGAAACCUCUGCAAUGCGCGAAAGCGUGACAGGGGGACUCCAAGUGCCACCUUUUGGUGGCUUUUCUCGACUUCAGGAAGGUCGGGGAAUAAGAGCUGGGCAAGACCCGUGCCGGCCGCCGCGGUAAUACGGGCAGCUCUAGUGGUGUCCACGAAUAUUGGGCCUAAAGCGUGCGUAGCCGGUCCGGUAAGUCCUUGGUGAAAUCCUACAGCUUCAACUGUGGGGAAGUGCCCAGGAAACUGCUGGAACUGGGGGCCGGAAAGGUUCGAGGGUUUUCCUUGGUAAGGGGUUGAAAUCCUGUGAUCCUUGGAGGGACCUACGGUGGCGAAGGCGUCCGACUGGAACGGGCCCGACGGUGAGGCACGAAAGCUAGGGGAUCGACCCGGAUUAGAUACCCGGUUAGUCCUAGCCCUAAAUCAUGCAGGGUUUGGUGUGACGCACCUUACGAGGGGUGCGUUGUGCCGUAGGGAAGCCGUUAAACCUGCCGCCAGGGAAAGUAUGGUCGCAAGACUGAAACUUAAAGAAUUGGCGGGGGAG
rnacentral:rRNA from 1 species